rnacentral:rRNA from 2 species
UUAACGGAGAGUUUGAUCCUGGCUCAGGACGAACGCUGGCGGCGUGCCUAAUACAUGCAAGUCGAGCGGAGUUUCAAGAAGCUUGCUUUUUGAAACUUAGCGGCGGACGGGUGAGUAACACGUGGGCAACCUGCCCCUUAUACUGGGAUAACUCCCGGAAACCGGAGCUAAUACCGGAUAAUCCCUUUCUCCACCUGGAGAGAGGGUGAAAGAUGGGUUCUGCUAUCACUAUGGGAUGGGCCCGCGGCGCAUUAUCUAGUUGGUAAGGUAACGGCUUACCAAGGCGACGAUGCGUAGCCGACCUGAGAGGGGGAUCGGCCACACUGGGACUGAGACACGGCCCACACUCCUACGGGAGGCAGCAGUAGGGAAUCUUCCGCAAUGGACGAAAGUCUGACGGAGCAACGCCGCGUGAGUGAGGAAAGCCUUCUGGUCUUAUAACUCUGUUGUGAGGGAAAAAACGGUACCGUUUUAAUAGAGCGGUGCCUUGACGGUACCUCACCAGAAAGCCACGGCUAACUACGUGCCAGCAGCCGCGGUAAUACGUAGGUGGCAAGCGUUGUCCGGAAUUAUUGGGCGUAAAGC